rnacentral:rRNA from 1 species
AUUGAACGCUGGCGGCAGGCCUAACACAUGCAAGUCGAGCGGAUGAAGGGAGCUUGCUCCUGGAUUCAGCGGCGGACGGGUGAGUAAUGCCUAGGAAUCUGCCUGGUAGUGGGGGAUAACGUCGGGAAACGGGCGCUAAUACCGCAUACGUCCUGAGGGAGAAAGUGGGGGAUCUUCGGACCUCACGCUAUCAGAUGAGCCUAGGUCGGAUUAGCUAGUUGGUGGGGUAAAGGCCUACCAAGGCGACGAUCCGUAACUGGUCUGAGAGGAUGAUCAGUCACACUGGAACUGGGACACGGUCCAGACUCCUACGGGAGGGAGCAGUGGGGAAUAUUGGACAAUGGGCGAAAGCCUGGUCCAGCCAUGCCGCGUGUGUGAAGAAGGUCUUCGGAUUGUAAAGCACUUUAAGUUGGGAGGAAGGGCAGUAAGUUAAGACCUUGCUGUUUUGACGUUACCAACAGAAUAAGCACCGGCUAACUUCGUG